UUUCUAUUUAAAGGACACUGAGAGAGUCCAGGAGGGGUUACAGGAUAGGAGACAUGACAGCCUGACACGGGUACAGCCUGGGGUCAAGAUCAGCUCCGGCAGGAUAAAGCCAAGAUGUAACCCCCAUCCCGAGUCUCCUUCUGCUGGGCUACACGACGCACAAUAAAUCAUUAUAUGUUCAAACUUA